CAUCAUCGUCCUCAACUGGUUCAACGUGCUCUCAAAAUUCACCACUUGUUGGCUCAACGUGUACCUGUCUUGCUGCAUUACACAACCAUAAGCUUAGGGACGAGAAGUGAGCACGACCAACAAAUAGGUACGAAUACUACAAUUAUCAUAUCUGCCGGAAGCUCCACUGGAGAAGUCCACACCGUACGGAUAGUAAUUGGCCCUUGCUCGGGAGUUGAGGAAGUUGGUAUUGCCG